rnacentral:lncRNA from 1 species
UGCAAACUCAGUAUGAGUUACAGGCAACAGUGUGACAUGACAGACAAAAACAAAGCUAAUAAAAUUUCAGAUUAUAUUAAAAGAAACUGUACAGAACAAGGAAGGUGAUAAUCCUACAGUGCCCUAUCUCAGCAGAAUAAAUUUGGAGUAUUGUGUUCAAUCCUGGGAAUCAUAUUUUAGGAGGAUCAUUAACAGAGAAUUAUGCUCAACAUGGUUUGGACUGGAACCAUGACAUGUCAUGAUCAGUUAAGUGAACUAGGGAUGUUUUUUCCUAGAGAAGAAGACUCAAAAAAAACCCCAACAACAAAAGCUGUCUUUUCUGACACUGCCAUCCACCCAGAUCCAAGACCUACAUUUCCACACUCCUGGACUACUGCAAUAGCCUUUUCUGAAAUGUCAAGAGGAUGAAAGAGAUAUGGGCUGGGUUCUCAGCUUCUCAGAAAGGAAGCAAACACACGGCUGGAAUUACUGAUGCUGUCAUUGGUAUUAAUGUAGGUGGUCACUUCUGUUAACUUAUUAGCCAAAAGAUUAUGUUCCUGUUAAAAAUGGGAAAAAAGAGAGAAAAACAGAAACAGUAAACUCUUAGUAAGAAAACUGGAAAAUAGACUUAUC